rnacentral:rRNA from 1 species
UACGUAGGGUGCGAGCGUUGUCCGGAAUUAUUGGGCGUAAAGAGCUUGUAGGUGGCUCGUCGCGUCGGGGGUGAAAACCCGCGGCUUAACCGCGGGCCUGCUUUCGAUACGGGCGGGCUAGAGUUCGGCAGGGGAGACUGGAAUUCCUGGUGUAGCGGUGGAAUGCGCAGAUAUCAGGAGGAACACCGGUGGCGAAGGCGGGUCUCUGGGCCGAUACUGACACUGAGGCGCGACAGCGUGGGGAGCAAACAGG